AAAGCAUGAUGAGGACACUUCCUGAUUAGCUCUUUGUACCUUUCCCAUGCCUCAUAUAAGGAUUCAGAUUCUUGUUGCACAAAAGUAGUGAUCUCAUUUCUCAUUCU
rfam:Cajanus cajan chromosome 1, whole genome shotgun sequence.